CAUUAAGUGCAGGAAAAGAAACCAAAUGGGAUUCCCAUAGUAACGGCGAGUGAAGUGGGACGAGCUCAGCACCGAAGCCGGCGGCCGAGAGGCCGUCGUGCAAUGUGGUGUUCGGGACGGCUCUGUCCGUGUCCGGCGUCGGUCCAAGUCUCCUGGAAAGGAGUUCCGUGGAGGGUGACAGGCCCGUGCGACCGAUCGCCGCGUUCGCGGACGAGUCUUCCUUCGAGUCGGGUUGCUCGCUAAUGCAGCCCUAAGCAGGUGGUAAGCUCCAUCUAAAGCUAAAUAUAACCACGAGUCCGAUAGUCAACAAGUACAGUGAUGGAAAGUUGAAAAGUACUCUGAAGAGAGAGUCAAAUAGCCCGUGAAGCUGCCAGUAUGGGAUUAAGCGCACGUGUGACGCGUGUCGUCUGACAAAUAGGCGUUCGUCGGCUGUCGCACGGCGCGCGCUCGGCAUCGGAAACGGUGUCGGCGCGCGUCGCUGUUGGGCGGUCGGCGGCACGCCUCCCUUUGUUGGACACAGACAGGUCGGGGCUUCGUUGUCCGGUCUUAUUGCCGGUCGUUAUGACGAGAGCCGUACUCGGCCGGCGCCGUCUUCGGACGUGUGCCGGUGCUCCGCGGAGUGUGCGCCUUGUGCGGCCGCGGCGGGUCUGGUCUCGGUGUGACGCGACCGAUUGGCGAACGACUGGGCGACGGCCAGCGCAAAUCGACAUUUAUGUGUCGGCUCGGCCUUUGCGUCGUCACGUGCGGCCCGUCUUGAAACACGGACCAAGGAGUCUAACAUGUGAGCGAGCGAUUGAGAUAGUCGAAUCUCAAACGCGCAAUGAAAGUGAAGUGUCGUCUGACGGCACGAGCGGAGAUCCGUCGUCACUCGUGGCGGCGGCGCAUCCGCGGGCCACGCCAUCGGCUGGCUUGCUCUUCUGAGCACUGCUGAGGCGUGGACCUAGAGCCCACACGUUGGGACCCGAAAGAUGGUGAACUAUGCCUGGCCAGGAUGAAGCCAGAGGAAACUCUGGUGGAGGUCCGCCGCGAUUCUGACGUGCAAAUCGAUCGUCUGAGCUGGGUAUAGGGGCGAAAGACCAAUCGAACCAUCUAGUAGCUGGUUCCGCCCGAAGUUUCCCUCAGGAUAGCUGGCGCUCGUGUGAUACGGAGUUUCAUCCGGUAAAGCGAAUGAUCAGAGGAGCUGGGCUCCUUGCGAGCUCAACCUAUUCUCAAACUUUCAAUGGGUGAGACGUCUCGCUGGCUUCAGUGCAGCGACGACUCUGAAUCCGAGUGCCCAGUGGGCCACUUUUGGUAAGCAGAACUGGCGAUGCGGGAUGAACCGCAUGUCGAGUUAAGGUGCCUAAGCGGACGCAAAUCAGAUACCAUGAAAGGUGUUGAUUGCUCAGGACAGCAGGACGGUGGCCAUGGAAGUCGGCAUCCGCUAAGGAGUGUGUAACAACUCACCUGCCGAAGCAAUCAGCCCUGAAAAUGGAUGGCGCUAAAGCGUUCCACCGAUACUCGACCGUCGUCGGCAGGCGACGUGCAUGUCACGUCUCAAGCCACGACGAGUAGGGCGGCGCGGCGGUGAGCGUCGAAGGCGUAGCCGUGAGGCUAGCUGGAGCCGCCGUCGGUGCAGAUCUUGGUGGUAGUAGCAAAUACACAAGCAAGAUCCUUGUGGACCGAUGUGGAGAAGGGUUCCGCGCGAACAGUACUUGGACGUGGGUGAGUCGGCCCUAAGCCAACGGGUAAUUCCCGCAUCCCGUGUUUGUCGCAUUUAUCGAAUAACAUGGGUUGAU
rnacentral:rRNA from 2 species